rnacentral:rRNA from 1 species
UACAGAGGGGGCAAGCGUUAUUCGGAAUUAUUGGGCGUAAAGGGCGCGUAGGCGGCUUGGCAAGUGGAAGGUGAAAUCCCUCGGCUUGACCGAGGAACUGCCCUCCAAACUGCUUAGCUUGAGACCGGGAGAGGUGAGUGGAAUUCCCAGUGUAGCGGUGAAAUGCGUAGAUAUUGGGAGGAACACCAGUGGCGAAGGCGGCUCACUGGACCGGUACUGACGCUGAUGCGCGAAAGCGUGGGGAGCAAACGGG